AAGUCGAGCGAAGCAGUUAAGAAGAUUCUUCGGAUGAUUCUUAACUGACUGAGCGGCGGACGGGUGAGUAACGCGUGGGUGACCUGCCCCAUACCGGGGGAUAACAGCUGGAAACGGCUGCUAAUACCGCAUAAGCGCACAGAGCUGCAUGGCUCGGUGUGAAAAACUCCGGUGGUAUGGGAUGGGCCCGCGUCUGAUUAGGCAGUUGGCGGGGUAACGGCCCACCAAACCGACGAUCAGUAGCCGGCCUGAGAGGGCGACCGGCCACAUUGGGACUGAGACACGGCCCAAACUCCUACGGGAGGCAGCAGUGGGGAAUAUUGCACAAUGGGGGAAACCCUGAUGCAGCGACGCCGCGUGAGCGAAGAAGUAUUUCGGUAUGUAAAGCUCUAUCAGCAGGGAAGAUAAUGACGGUACCUGACUAAGAAGCCCCGGCUAACUACGUGCCAGCAGCCGCGGUAAUACGUAGGGGGCAAGCGUUAUCCGGAUUUACUGGGUGUAAAGGGAGCGUAGACGGCAAGGCAAGUCUGAUGUGAAAACCCAGGGCUUAACCCUGGGACUGCAUUGGAAACUGUCUGGCUCGAGUGCCGGAGAGGUAAGCGGAAUUCCUAGUGUAGCGGUGAAAUGCGUAGAUAUUAGGAAGAACACCAGUGGCGAAGGCGGCUUACUGGACGGUAACUGACGUUGAGGCUCGAAAGCG
rnacentral:rRNA from 1 species